rnacentral:lncRNA from 1 species
GUUUCUCGGGAUUCUCAGUUUAGCAUCUUUCUCUGCAUACUUUCCUUGAACUUCUUGUUGCUGUGAUGCGUUCAUAAUCGGUUUUUUCCCUUCCACACUUUUCUUCUGUUCCGCCCCAUGUUCUAACAAGUUCAAGGUCCCAGACUGAGGUGAAGUACUGUACCAUAUCUUCCGCUGUUUUUCGGCUAUUUCUGGUUUCCUGGCAGUUUCCAAGAUACGGUAAACUGCUUCCCUUGUGACUGGGGGCUUUAGGCAUGAAAAUAAAGCUUCCUCAGAAGCAAUUGAUGCAGGAAGUCUACUGAGAAAGGGACGUAUUACUGGGGCAAUAAAUGCAAAAGAGUCGACAGCACCUAAGAACUCACUACAGGCAGCGAUGAAAGUGACGACUGCCUUCCUUACCCAUUGAGAUGGAUAGUACAGCAAAGGAUAAACACACUCUAUCAUUUGGAGAAGAGCUCUCUUCCGCAAGAAGCUGCUCUUGCAUAGUAUGGAUAAGCAAUCCAAUGCAUUGACAAUGACAGCCUCUGUCUGAUCACUCAAAGCUUGAUCAAUAUAAGGCAAUAGAUAUUCCUCCACACUUCUCUGACCGACAAAGAAGCAUACAUAAACAAUUUUCUCAAAGAAUACAGAUCUUAGCUGUUCGUCUCUGUCGUUAAGAAAGGCAGGGAGGAUGGGGAGUAGAAAGUAAUUGCUCUGCCUCUGACCAAAGAAAAAGCAGAGCUCCCCUAUGUCCUGAAGGAGUGCUCUUCUAACAUUCGGAGUUUGUUUUGGACCCAUAACAAGCUCUUGAACAACUUCGGCAAUAGUUUUCCUAAGCUGUGAAAGCUGUGCAUCGCCGUUUGCCUUUUGCAACUCAGUAGCAGGUGUAGUUGACAUCUGCGGCGAAGUUGAUUCAUUAAGAACCCCUACGUUGCUCAGUUGGAAAGAAUGUAUCAAGAAUCCAUAAGCAGUAAGAGCAAGUUUGGCAAUAUUGCUGGCAUAACAUAUCCUCACACUCUCUUCUGGAUCAUCAGGGAGCAUGGAGAGCAUCGGGAAUAUAUACUCUGGGAAGAUCUUCGCAUCACUGGGAGGAAAAUCUCGGACAAGCGGCAGAAUGUCACAUAGAGUUUCCAUGGCAGCACACCGCACGAUUGCUGUUGUAUCAGAAAGCAGGGAAACAACAUAUGGAAGUACACGUUGUAAGCGAUCUUCAUCAUCAAUAUACAAAGAGCAAGACCUCAGCAGAAGUAUGGCUUCCCUCCUCAAAUGAGGCAACUUGAUAUUGCGGAUACAGGAACAGAGCAUAGAUGCGAUCAGAACCAUUCCCUCGCAUCUCAUGUUAACUUCUACCGGUAGAAAAGGGGUUCCGUAAGUGUCGGAACGGCUAUCAUAGAGAGACAUCAGUGUGCCCAAAUCGUCCAUUGUUAUCUUUUUCAAGAAAGGAUGGCGAUUUUUCUUGAGUGCAUCAGAAAUAGAGUAGAGGGUCUCGUCCUUGGAGUUUACAGUAUCCCUUAUCAAGUCCUUCGAGGUGUUCAGUUUCUGAUUCGUAAAAGUUUCUUGUACAUUUCUUGCGUUCACUGGAUGUGAAGGUAAAGGAGAAUCAAUACCCAUCUCAUCACCUGGCUUAUUUUCCAUCAUCUUCUUAAGUAUUUCUUGAAAUAUGCCAUGGCAAGUUGCUACCUGAUAAAAAUGACGCAAAAUGAUAUGAAGCAUGUUGAUGCAGAGUGUAGAGUUUUUUUUAACAGAAAAUGGUGGUGGUUACCCUCAUAUCUGAAGGAAGUGGAUUCCAACAACAGUACAAAGUGUGCAGAAAUGGUGAGAAGUAGUUCGGGAAAAUAACUCCCACAUAAUUUUGCAGGUAGUUUUCAGCUGAUAGGCGUGCUUCGGGUUCUAACUGAAUCAUAUGAAGAAUCAUCUUGCGAAUUCCAGGAUCAGGAAUCUGAAUCCAAUAAAAAGAGAAAGAAAACAACAAAGAUGAGUAGAAGUAGAGGUAGAACAAUCAGCAAAAAAAAAAUCCAACUCAGAACCACUGAAGUCUCAAGUCCCAAGUACCACGAAGAAGGAAGGUGAAAAGAAUGUUGUUUAAACAUCAAAGGAAUCAACGUGAAAGGUCGCUUGAAAGAAAGAAAAAAUGGAGAGGGAAAGAUAUUGAUACCNNNNNNNNNNNNNNNNNNNNNNNNNGGAAAGAGAUUGUUACCUACAAAGAGAAAAUGAAAAAGGAAGAUGCAGUAGGAAAAAUACCUUUUCAAGGUGUUGGCUAGGAUCAUGUUGUCCUCUGCGAUAAGCGAGAAGCUGAGCAAGUUCAAAUAGUGGCUGACCCUCAAGAAAAAGCUCUGCUAUCACGCACCUGAAGCAUUGAUAUGAAACUAUUACGAUAUGUUAUCAACUUAAAUAUACAACGUGCUAAUGUUUCAAGGUAAGAACAGUUUGUUCCAUCAUGAAAAAGUAUGUGUGCUUGACCUAUAGGAGCCUCUUUAUCUUGAUAUGCUAAUAAAAGGAAUGAACAGAUAGAGUGAUGUAAAACAAGAGGGUGAAUAAUCUCACCCCACAGAAAAUAUAUCCAUGGAUGGCUUUAAUGGAGCAUUUUGUGCAACUUUGGUCUCACCUCCAUGCUCAUAGAAUUUUUUGGGUACUAUACAUUACCAUCGGGCCAGAUAGGCUAUCAGAGGUGUAGUUCAAAAGAGAAAGCAAAGCGCCUUCUUUAACAUCCUUCUUUUUGAUAUCAACAAUGCCUGAGUACUUCUCCACCACGUUCCCCAAGCCUCUGGAGAUAUGGUCAAUGGAAAACAUAUGUAACACACCAUCGGAGGCUCCAACGACAACUUGAGUUGAAUUCCUAAGCAUUGUUGUGCACAUCCCUCUGCUUCCCUCGAGAUGAUACGUUAGCCUUGACCUGAACGAAAUGUCCUUUUCCAGCUUUCUAGAGUCCCACACCUUUACUGUAGAAUCAUCUGAUGCACUAACAAAGAAGCUAUGAUCGCUUGAAGUGGCAAUGUCGUUGACAGCAGAGCGGUGCUCUUGUAGAUGAGCGACUAAUACUCCACGAGGCUUCCAACCUGAAUCCGGAACCGAAGUCCUCGACGGAGAUGGUUCUCCUACGAGAUCCGAUAUUGAAGACGCGUCUUCUGAAGUCACAGAAGCGCUUUUUGAAGAGGUGGAUACACCGAGGUCUUGAAAUUUGCUGAUGACUGAGGACAUUUGCUCAUUUUCUCUGCUUUCUGGCUCAUGUACCACUCUGUAAAACUGUUUAGGAUUGGUACCAACGUGGAAUGAUCCAGAAACCAGCUUAGGCACCGGAACCGAACUAGCCAAGUUAAAUGACUUGCUCAUGGAAUCCAUCCAUGGUACUGACAACGAACUCAUCCCCAGAGAGUUCAUCUGCAAUGAAGACUCAGAAGCCACAGGAGGAUUCGUGGCGGCUCGUUUGUCCAUGUUAAACGAAUAGAGAGGUAUCCCCUCUGGUUCAGUUACGUUAUUCAUACCAGACAUGUAUGGUGCCAUAAGCCCAGAGAACUGUAACUUCUCCUGAUUCAAGUGAUCACGAAGCUCAACUGUGUUAGAAGCAUUGAGUCUUGGGUUUCUCGGGAUUCUCAGUUUAGCAUCUUUCUCUGCAUACUUUCCUUGAACUUCUUGUUGCUGUGAUGCGUUCAUAAUCGGUUUUUUCCCUUCCACACUUUUCUUCUGUUCCGCCCCAUGUUCUAACAAGUUCAAGGUCCCAGACUGAGGUGAAGUACUGUACCAUAUCUUCCGCUGUUUUUCGGCUAUUUCUGGUUUCCUGGCAGUUUCCAAGAUACGGUAAACUGCUUCCCUUGUGACUGGGGGCUUUAGGCAUGAAAACAAACCUUCCUCAGAAGCAAUUGAUGCAGGAAGUC